GCCGUAAUGCUUGGGAGAAUAGAUUCAAACUUAGUUUCUUACCUUAAAAUCAUUUGGUACCCCCCUUGACACCCCUAUGGCAUUAAUAUAUAUAUAUAUAUAUAUAUAUAUAUAUGUGUGGGUAAAACCACCCUUUAUAGGGGUACUCCUUUUUGUCCUGAAGCAUGAAUGAGGUGUGUCAAGAGUACCUUGGGGAUUGUGUUAUGUGCAUGGACAUAAUAACCUAGGCUAGGGCACAUUUACUUAUUCUUAAUCUUAGAAAUCUUGUCUCAUGCUACCCUAGUACUGGCAGAUUCAGAUCAUUUAAACAUUCAAUAUUAAUAUCACCACAAACUCAAGAUAAGCAGAUGAUCCUGAAGAAGCUUUGACUGUGCG